UAAUCUCACCCCUUUUGACUUUGCCGUCGAUCGGUGUGGACUUGGAUGUUGCCGUGUAACAAACGGCUCGUCUGAAAUGCCUGAGUGUACCCCGCUUUGCGGCGUAUUCGGUGUGAUAAAUCUUCGCCGGAGUUGACUUUCGAGUCGCGCUUGUACUGUGGGCUCUAUGCUUCCAACCGUCCCGAAAGGACAAUUUUUGACA
rnacentral:misc_RNA from 1 species